UGGACUUCAGGAGAGCUAACUUUGACCUCUUCAAAGACCUACUUGGUGAUAUCCCUUGGGCUAGAGCAUAGGAAAGUAAGAGAGCUGGUCAACACUUAAAUAUUAUUUCUUCCAAGCUCAAGAUCAGUGCAUCCCUAAGAGUAUGAAAUCAGGGGUAGGUGGCAGGAGACUUGCAUAGAUGAGCAAGGAGCUCAUGGAUAAAUGCAAAGGGAAGAAGGUCCACAAAAUGUGGAAAAAGGGCCUAUCCACUUGGGAAGAAUAUAGGAAUGUUGUCAGGGCCUUGUAGGGAUGCAAUAAGGAAGACUAAGGCACACUUGGAAUUAAAACUGGCAAAGGAGGCCAAGGAUAACAAGAAAUGUUUUUUUAACUAUGUCAGCAGAGAAAGGAAGACUAGGGAAAAUGUGGGUCUGCUACCAAAUAAGGUGGGUGUCCUGGUAACGGGUUGGGAUGCUGGGAAGACAGAGAUACUGAAUGCCUUCUUUGCUUCAGUCUUUACUACUAAGGCUGCCCCUUGGGAAUCCCAGACCUUGGAGGUAAGAGAGAGAGUCUGGGGAAUGGAAGACUUCCCCUUGGUCAAGGUGGAUCUGAUCAGAGUGUGUCUAGCCAAAAUAAAUCCCAGGUUGGCUAUGAGCCAGCAGUGUGCCCUUGUGGCCAAGAAGGCCAAUGAGACCUGGGGUGUAUUAAAAAAGAGUGUGGCCAGCAGGGCGAGGGAGAUGAUCCUCCCCCUCUACUCUGCCCUGGUGAGGCCGCAUCUAGAGUACUGCGUCCAUUUCUGGGCUCCCCAGUUCAGAACAGACAGGUAUCUCCUAGAAGGAGUCCAGUGGAGGUCCACAGAGAUGAUAAAGGGCCUGGAGCAUCUCCUAAAUGAGGAAAGACUGAGUAACCUGGGUCUGUUCAGCCUGGGUAAAAGAAGACUGAGGACGGAUCUGGUACAUGUUUAUAAAUAUUUGAAGGGAGGUGGGAGGCAAAUGGAUGAGGCCAGACUCUUCUCAUGGAUUCGUGGCGAUAGGACAAGGAGCAAUGGCCUAAAACUUGAACAUAGGAAGUUCCAUACAGACACGUGGAAGAACUUCUUUAUGGUAAGGGUGACAGAGCACUGGAACAGGCUGCACAGAGAGAUUGUGGUGUCUCCUGCUAUGGAAAUAUUUGAGACCCAUCUGGAUGCUGACCUGUGCAACUU
rnacentral:lncRNA from 1 species